UUCAGAGAACUGCUGAUGGAAACAGACGGAGACGUUUGCCGAGGAGCGGAAAGGCCUUGGCCGAGAGGACAUCCCCACAUGGGGAGACACCACAGAGGGCUAUGAGGACAGUCUGCCCUACAGGAGAGCUUGAGAGUCUUGCUCUGCGAAAAAGAUGGAAGCAGCAGAAAAAAAAGAAACAAAAAAAGAAGAUGGCUGAGCUGCAAAUAGAAUAAUUACAGAUUCAGGAGGCAAAGCAGGGCAGUAAGAAAUGGUUGAAGGCCGUUGCUACACAGAUCCAGAUGCCUUAGAGCUUUCUUUGUAGCUGUCUUGUCUUUCAGGGAGCUUUCAGCGAGAUGUUCUGUUCUCUGUUAGGAAGACACUGAAGAACAAGUCAUUUAUGAACCUGUACUGGAAGUUAGUUGAAUUUCCUUCAAAUACUCAUGCAAAUAGUUUGGAAAAUAAGAAAUAUGCCAAAUAAUUUUAAGAAUUUCAAAUGCAAGGUUUUCUCAGGAGAAAAAAUUAGUCUAUAUUCUACUCAAACUUUUCAAGAAUGUUCCAGUUGCCAGUGCACGUAAAGGACACGCUUCAUCAAACAUAUGACGGUGGCUUUCCUUGACCAAGAGUUUUAUGUAUCUGCCAUUUGGUGUAACUGGCUAUGACUUUGCAACAACAUUGAUAAGCAGAUACUUGAUGAUAAGAACACAAAUUUAAGCUGGUCAGAAGCUUGCUGGAAAAGGACCUUUCCUAACUCAUCCAUUAGGUGGUGCUCCAAGAGUGACAACGGGGAAGGCUUUGCUGCUCUUCAGGAGCUCCAGGAGCAGAAAUACACUUAACUUGUUAGACUUCAAAUUAUGGUGGCAAAAGUUGGAGCGCGGCACUGCAUACACUUGGACACGAUUUAAAAUAUAACUUUCCCUUCUUGAAUGGGUAACGUCUCUACAAAACACACUGUUUACAUUACUUCUACUUGGCAUUUCUAUUGUUUAUUGUAUAUUGGAUUAGAUCAUUUAUUUCCUUUUGUCACCCUGAACGAGACAAGCAAAAAAUAAAUAAAAAGAAUUAUCUAGU